GGAGUUAGCCGGUGCUUCUUCUGUGAGUGAUGUCCUUCCUGCCGGCUAUUAACCCGCAGGCCUUCUUCCUCACUGAAAGUGCUUUACAACCCGAAGGCCUUCUUCACACACGCGGCAUGGCUGGAUCAGGGUUGCCCCCAUUGUCCAAUAUUCCCCACUGCUGCCUCCCGUAGGAGUCUGGGCCGUGUCUCAGUCCCAGUGUGGCUGAUCAUCCUCUCAGACCAGCUACGGAUCGUCGCCUUGGUGAGCCGUUACCUCACCAACCAGCUAAUCCGACAUAGGCUCAUCCGAUAGCGCGAGGCCCGAAGGUCCCCCGCUUUCCCCCGUAGGGCGUAUGCGGUAUUAGCCUGGGUUUCCCCAGGUUAUCCCCCACUACCGGGCAGAUUCCUAUGCAUUACUCACCCGUCCGCCGCUCGCCACCAGGGAGCAAGCUCCCCGUGCUGCCGCUCGACUUGCAUGUGUUAGGCCUGCCGCCAGCGUUCAAUCUGAGCCAGUNACACACUCNCGCGNGCGGCGCGCGACGACGC
rnacentral:rRNA from 1 species